AAUAUUGGUAAUAGUAUUAGUAAAGAAAUAUCUUUAAAAGAGAGUUUGUGUGUGGUGAAAACAAAUAAGAUAACUUUAUGAACUUGAUUAUCUAAAAAUAUAUCGGGUAAGACCGUUAAAUCUAGUAAGAUGCACAUACAUUAUAGUAUGUGAAUUAAGGUGGUACCGCGAAUAAUUCGUCCUUAGA
rnacentral:ncRNA from 1 species